AUGGCAACAUUCCACAAAUUCCAUCAUCUGGCUGGUCAGAACUUCGCAGAGAUCAAGACCGCGCUCAUCAGCCUGCUACCUAAGAAGAACGAAGCAAGUCAACUGGAUCACUAUAGACCGAUCAGCCUCAUUCACUCUGUGGCAAAGCUCAUUUCCAAAGUCCUCUCCAUCAGGCUGGCUAGCGUUCUUAGAAACGUCAUCUCCCUGGUGCAAUCUGCAUUUCAGAAGGGCAAAUGUAUUCAUGAUAGCUAUCUAUACGUG
rnacentral:rRNA from 1 species